rnacentral:lncRNA from 1 species
CUCUUUCCUGCUGUUUUAUAGCUUCUGGUCACCAACAAAACAGAAGGCAUUAACCAGCUGAGGCUUCUCUGUUGUUCUCUGACUGCCUUUCCUCUUGGAGGUACAAUUAUAUUCCUUUCAUUUGUAUCAAGCUGAACACUUUGUUGUUAAUCUCUCAGCAGAUUCAAACCUGUACCCAGGAUGAUGGUUGCAGACUUCGCUGGUACCGCCACAGCACCUUCAGUGCAGGUUGAUGCCAAAGGUGACAGCCCAGAGCUCGGCACAGACUCUUUCAGCCACUUUCUUGGGUGUCCUUUUUUUCUUCAAGACAAAUGA